rnacentral:rRNA from 1 species
UUUUAUGAGAGUUUGAUCCUGGCUCAGGACGAACGCUGGCGGCGUGCCUAAUACAUGCAAGUCGAACGCUUCUUUUUCCACCGGAGCUUGCUCCACCGGAAAAAGAGGAGUGGCGAACGGGUGAGUAACACGUGGGUAACCUGCCCAUCAGAAGGGGAUAACACUUGGAAACAGGUGCUAAUACCGUAUAACAAUCAAAACCGCAUGGUUUUGAUUUGAAAGGCGCUUUCGGGUGUCGCUGAUGGAUGGACCCGCGGUGCAUUAGCUAGUUGGUGAGGUAACGGCUCACCAAGGCCACGAUGCAUAGCCGACCUGAGAGGGUGAUCGGCCACAUUGGGACUGAGACACGGCCCAAACUCCUACGGGAGGCAGCAGUAGGGAAUCUUCGGCAAUG